UCUGGAAAGGCGCGCGAUACAGGGUGACAGCCCCGUACACAAAAGCGCAUGUGCUGUGAGCUCGAUGAGUAGGGCGGGACACGUGGUAUCCUGUCUGAAUAUGGGGGGACCAUCCUCCAAGGCUAAAUACUCCUGACUGACCGAUAGUGAACCAGUACCGUGAGGGAAAGGCGAAAAGAACCCCGGCGAGGGGAGUGAAAAAGAACCUGAAACCGUGUACGUACAAGCAGUGGGAGCACAGGUUUACCUGUGUGACUGCGUACCUUUUGUAUAAUGGGUCAGCGACUUAUAUUCUGUAGCAAGGUUAACCGUAUAGGGGAGCCGAAGGGAAACCGAGUCUUAACCGGGCGUUAAGUUGCAGGGUAUAGACCCGAAACCCGGUGAUCUAGCCAUGGGCAGGUUGAAGGUUGGGUAACACUAACUGGAGGACCGAACCGACUAAUGUUGAAAAAUUAGCGGAUGACCUGUGGCUGGGGGUGAAAGGCCAAUCAAACCGGGAGAUAGCUGGUUCUCCCCGAAAGCUAUUUAGGUAGCGCCUCGUGAAUUCAUCUCCGGGGGUAGAGCACUGUUUCGGCUAGGGGGCCAUCCCGGCUUACCAACCCGAUGCAAACUGCGAAUACCGGAGAAUGUUAUCACGGGAGACACACGGCGGGUGCUAACGUCCGUCGUGAAGAGGGAAACAACCCAGACCGCCAGCUAAGGUCCCAAAGUCAUGGUUAAGUGGGAAACGAUGUGGGAAGGCCCAGACAGCCAGGAUGUUGGCUUAGAAGCAGCCAUCAUUUAAAGAAAGCGUAAUAGCUCACUGGUCGAGUCGGCCUGCGCGGAAGAUGUAACGGGGCUAAACCAUGCACCGAAGCUGCGGCAGCGACGCUGAUGCGUUGUUGGGUAGGGGAGCGUUCUGUAAGCCUGCGAAGGUGGCCUGUGAGGGUUGCUGGAGGUAUCAGAAGUGCGAAUGCUGACAUAAGUAACGAUAAAGCGGGUGAAAAGCCCGCUCGCCGGAAGACCAAGGGUUCCUGUCCAACGUUAAUCGGGGCAGGGUGAGUCGACCCCUAAGGCGAGGCCGAAAGGCGUAGUCGAUGGGAAACGGGUUAAUAUUCCCGUACUUGGUGUUACUGCGAAGGGGGGACGGAGAAGGCUAUGUUGGCCGGGCGACGGUUGUCCCGGUUUAAGCGUGUAGGUGUGUGUUCCAGGUAAAUCCGGUUCACUUUAACACUGAGGCGUGACGACGAGGCACUACGGUGCUGAAGCAACAAAUGCCCUGCUUCCAGGAAAAGCCUCUAAGCAUCAGGUAACAUCAAAUCGUACCCCAAACCGACACAGGUGGUCAGGUAGAGAAUACCAAGGCGCUUGAGAGAACUCGGGUGAAGGAACUAGGCAAAAUGGUGCCGUAACUUCGGGAGAAGGCACGCUGACACGUAGGUGAAGUGAUUUACUCAUGGAGCUGAAGUCAGUCGAAGAUACCAGCUGGCUGCAACUGUUUAUUAAAAACACAGCACUGUGCAAACACGAAAGUGGACGUAUACGGUGUGACGCCUGCCCGGUGCCGGAAGGUUAAUUGAUGGGGUCAGCGCAAGCGAAGCUCCUGAUCGAAGCCCCGGUAAACGGCGGCCGUAACUAUAACGGUCCUAAGGUAGCGAAAUUCCUUGUCGGGUAAGUUCCGACCUGCACGAAUGGCGUAAUGAUGGCCAGGCUGUCUCCACCCGAGACUCAGUGAAAUUGAACUCGCUGUGAAGAUGCAGUGUACCCGCGGCAAGACGGAAAGACCCCGUGAACCUUUACUAUAGCUUGACACUGAACAUUGAGCCUUGAUGUGUAG
rnacentral:rRNA from 1 species